UGUAUAAAAUACACAAGCCAAAAUAAUAACCAGGUUGAUCAUGAAGGCAUCAAUCUCAGCAUCUGGUACUCUAGACAACUCUACCAGCAAGUUGUAACUUGUUCCAAUUCCAAAGCACUGCCCCAAAAAGCCAAUGUUUCACAGACUGUCAUCUCAUCAUAAUGAAGGUUAAUUAUGUUGACUAAUAUGAGAAGAGAAUAGCACAAACCCUUAAAUCAUAAUCAAGUUUUGCAGCAAAUGCUUUUAGCAUUAUUGUUUUUCCAGAUCCAAGAGGACCAAAAAGUAAAGUCAACCUGAAAAUAAAUCGAUUUGAGUUAUACAUAGCAUUUGAAAAUAACAUACUUGCUUUGCUAUACCACUCAUGGAGUAUCUUAACCACUAUUUUCUUUGAUGAAUUUCAUUACUCUUCAAUUCACUAAAAAUUGUCCAUAUGUUUAUUUUGUACCACUCACCACUCCACCUUUUGGGGUUCCAUUCAAACAACUUCAACAAAUCCUAAAAGCUUAAGCUUAUUCUGGAUUCGUCCCAACCAAAUCUUUAUUUUUCAAAUAAAUAAAACAAAAAUAAUUGGUAAAAUAAUAAUAACUAAGAAGAAAUGAAAGAUCGAUUUGAUGAUAUUUUUUUGAUACUUUGGGCAGAGAGAGAAAGAGAACAAGGGAGAGUUAUUGAUAUUGACCAGUCAAAAGGGUAAAAUUAUCAAUACUUAAUUUUUCAAAGGCAACAAUGUCUCAAAAAUUAUCACUUCAUUAUGAUACUUUUAUAAUUCUAGGAGCCAAAAUUAUGUAAUUGAAUAAAUCCUCCUCUAUCCGUUGCGGGUCGAGGACUCCUUCUCCUUCUCCUUCCCCUUCCCCUUCUUCAAACUCCGAUUUGUAUUGUUCAUAGAGAAAUUUCUGAUUAACGAUAGAACAAGAUCCAUUUUGCAUCAUAUCUAAGGGAUUCCUUGCUUCGGGCCGAAGAAACAAUGUCACUCGAUCAUUAUCAAACUGGCUACAAUCCUAUUUAAUUCUCUCUCUGGAUAUCUCUGUAACUUUACCAUUUCUACUUUUUCUUAUAUUGUUAAUGUAUGUUUUUAAUAUAUUAAAUAGUAAGAUUUUCAAGGUGAAAAAGUCUAAUAGUCAAAAUUCACAGCUCACGUGUUUGUAUUUUCUAAUAUUAUAUUAAAGUGUAUUUAUUACCUUUUAAACCUCUAUUUAAUUCUCUCUCUUCAUAUCUCUGCAACUUUUUCAUUUCCACAUUUUCAUUAAUUUAAUUCUCUCUUGAUAUUUCUGCAACUUUCAUUUGAAAAGUUUAUCGCAUCCUCUUCUUCUCUCUCUGUUUCUCUGCAACUAUUAUGUACAGUUGGGAAAUGACGAACACAACAAAUCAAAACACCCAUUAGAUCAAUGACAAGAGAAGGCUUACGACGGCGGCCACCACCACCACCACCACCACCACCACCACUGAGUUCAUAACGGCGCUCAAUAUUCUCGACAUGCAGACCUCCACUAGGCAUGUUCUAACUCUGUUUUGGUGGAUUUGGGUUACAAAAUUCUCUCAUACCUUUAAAGGUCAACUUUUUGAAUUGUAACACAUAUUUACAGUAACUGAUUCUCUUAUUUUAUUUCAAUUAUUGGUAAAGAUUUCAAAUUUUGGCUUUAAAUGACAACGGAGCAAGAAAAUUGAUGUGUAUUCGAAUCAUAGGAGCUAGUAAUCGACGAUAUGCUCAUAUUGGUGACGUUAUUGUUGCUGUAAUCAAAGAAGCAAUACCAAAUACACCGCUGGAAAGAUCCGAAGUAAUCAGAGCUGUAAUUGUGCGUACUUGUAAAGAACUCAAACGCGACAACGGUAUGAUAAUACGAUAUGAUGGGCGCCAUAUUCUAGGAGCCCAAACUAUGUGAUUGAAUAAAUCCUCCUCUAUCCGUUGCGGGUCGAGGACUCCAUCUCCUUCUCCUUCCCCUUCUUCAA